CGGGGGCCCUAUACAUGCAAGUCGAACGAACUCUGGUAUUGAUUGGUGCUUGCAUCAUGAUUUACAUUUGAGUGAGUGGCGAACUGGUGAGUAACACGUGGGAAACCUGCCCAGAAGCGGGGGAUAACACCUGGAAACAGAUGCUAAUACCGCAUAACAACUUGGACCGCAUGGUCCGAGCUUGAAAGAUGGCUUCGGCUAUCACUUUUGGAUGGUCCCGCGGCGUAUUAGCUAGAUGGUGGGGUAACGGCUCACCAUGGCAAUGAUACGUAGCCGACCUGAGAGGGUAAUCGGCCACAUUGGGACUGAGACACGGCCCAAACUCCUACGGGAGGCAGCAGUAGGGAAUCUUCCACAAUGGACGAAAGUCUGAUGGAGCAACGCCGCGUGAGUGAAGAAGGGUUUCGGCUCGUAAAACUCUGUUGUUAAAGAAGAACAUAUCUGAGAGUAACUGUUCAGGUAUUGACGGUAUUUAACCAGAAAGCCACGGCUAACUACGUGCCAGCAGCCGCGGUAAUACGUAGGUGGCAAGCGUUGUCCGGAUUUAUUGGGCGUAAAGCGAGCGCAGGCGGUUUUUUAAGUCUGAUGUGAAAGCCUUCGGCUCAACCGAAGAAGUGCAUCGGAAACUGGGAAACUUGAGUGCAGAAGAGGACAGUGGAACUCCAUGUGUAGCGGUGAAAUGCGUAGAUAUAUGGAAGAACACCAGUGGCGAAGGCGGCUGUCUGGUCUGUAACUGACGCUGAGGCUCGAAAGUAUGGGUAGCAAACAGGAUUAGAUACCCUGGUAGUCCAUACCGUAAACGAUGAAUGCUAAGUGUUGGAGGGUUUCCGCCCUUCAGUGCUGCAGCUAACGCAUUAAGCAUUCCGCCUGGGGAGUACGGCCGCAAGGCUGAAACUCAAAGGAAUUGACGGGGGCCCGCACAAGCGGUGGAGCAUGUGGUUUAAUUCGAAGCUACGCGAAGAACCUUACCAGGUCUUGACAUACUAUGCAAAUCUAAGAGAUUAGACGUUCCCUUCGGGGACAUGGAUACAGGUGGUGCAUGGUUGUCGUCAGCUCGUGUCGUGAGAUGUUGGGUUAAGUCCCGCAACGAGCGCAACCCUUAUUAUCAGUUGCCAGCAUUAAGUUGGGCACUCUGGUGAGACUGCCGGUGACAAACCGGAGGAAGGUGGGGAUGACGUCAAAUCAUCAUGCCCCUUAUGACCUGGGCUACACACGUGCUACAAUGGAUGGUACAACGAGUUGCGAACUCGCGAGAGUAAGCUAAUCUCUUAAAGCCAUUCUCAGUUCGGAUUGUAGGCUGCAACUCGCCUACAUGAAGUCGGAAUCGCUAGUAAUCGCGGAUCAGCAUGCCGCGGUGAAUACGUUCCCGGGCCUUGUACACACCGCCCGUCACACCAUGAGAGUUUGUAACACCCAAAGUCGGUGGGGUAACCUUUUAGGAACCAGCCGCCUAAAGGUGGACCAAA
rnacentral:rRNA from 1 species